rnacentral:lncRNA from 1 species
UUGAGGUGUGUGGAGGUUUAUAAAUUAUAUUUAAAGGUGGGAGAAAAGCACUUAAUUGUACCUCAUACUAGAGGUGUAAUUCAGUGCGGCUCGGGUUGAACCGCACCAAAUUAUAUCAAAUCAAAAAAAUCGAAUAAAAAAUUAUCACACCGAACCGAAUCCAAAAUAAAUAAAAAUCAAAUCGUACCAAACUACCUUAUUCGGUUCGAUUC